AGGAGGAGUCGGAGGAGCAGUCGUAGGAGUAGUCGGAGGAGCAGUCGGAGGAGCAAUCGUAGGAGCAGUCGGAGGAGCAGUCGUAGGAGCAGUCGUAGGAGCAGUCGGAGGAGCAUUACUAGGAGCAGUAUUAGGAGCAGUAUUAGGAGACAAUAUGGAGGAUCUGAUGAAGGACCUGAGGGAGAUUGUAGACAACAAUUUUAGGAAAUUGCGUGAAGGACCACACCCCGAAGACAUUUAAUUUUUUAUUUUAUUUAAUCUUCUCCCCCUCAUGUGAGCGCGUGGAAGACGACAGAGCAACAGCAGUCGGAGGAGCAGUCGGAGGAGCAGUCGAAGGAGCAGUCGGAGGAGCAGUCGGAGGAGCAGUCGGAGGAGCAGUCGGAGGAGCAGUCGGAGGAGCAGUCGGAGGAGCAGUCG